UCUUUCUUUGCUGGCGACCGGCGCACGGGUGAGUAACACGUAUCCAACCUGCCCUUUACUCGGGGAUAGCCUUUCGAAAGAAAGAUUAAUACCCGAUAGCAUAAUGAUUCCGCAUGGUUUCAUUAUUAAAGGAUUCCGGUAAAGGAUGGGGAUGCGUUCCAUUAGGUUGUUGGUGGGGUAACGGCCCACCAAUCCUUCGAUGGAUAGGGGUUCUGAGAGGAAGGUCCCCCACAUUGGAACUGAGACACGGUCCAA
rnacentral:rRNA from 1 species